rnacentral:tRNA from 1 species
UGCGCUCGUAGCUCAGUAGGAUAGAGCAGCGGUUUCCUAAACCGCGUGCCGGGGGUUCGAUUCCUCUCGGGCGCACCAA